CAGAAUAAAUUUAGCAUUUAAACAAUGUCCAAACUCCCUAGAGCACCUCGAUACAGAAAUUUCUUUUACAGGUAUGUUUUGCUGCACCCCAGUUCAAGAACUUUGUUCAUUCGCCAUGUGAAACAACCAAAGGAUGACUAUUUACAUCGAAAUGUUAAACACACCCACAUGAUUUAAAAUGCUUAUAUCAAAGAAGCAAAAUAUUUAUAGAAAUUUAAUUAUAUUUUCCCUUUCUCGGCUUUUCUCGCGGUAGGUAUUCCAU